GCAUUAAUGGGGUAGUGGUAACCUGGGUCGUUGCCAUACAACUUCAAGCUCGACCCGCCGGGGGUUCGAUUCCCUCUUAAUGCA